GGCCGCCUGGCGAAAUGGCAUCGCGUCUGACUACGAUAACUAUCAUAUAAGAUCAAUGCCAUGAGUAAUCAGGAGAUUGCAGGUUCGACCCCUGCGGUGGUCA